rnacentral:rRNA from 1 species
GACGAACGCUGGCGGCGUGCCUAAUACAUGCAAGUCGAGCGGAACUGGGGGAGCUUGCUCUUUCCAGUUUAGCGGCGGACGGGUGAGUAACACGUGGGCAACCUGCCCUGCAGAUCGAGAUAACUCCGGGAAACCGGUGCUAAUACCGAAUAGUUUGGCGCCUCUCCUGAGGCGCUACGGAAAGACGGUUUCGGCUGUCACUGCAGGAUGGGCCCGCGGCGCAUUAGCUAGUUGGUGGGGUAACGGCCCACCAAGGCGACGAUGCGUAGCCGACCUGAGAGGGUGACCGGCCACACUGGGACUGAGACACGGCCCAGACUCCUACGGGAGGCAGCAGUAGGGAAUCUUCCGCAAUGGACGCAAGUCUGACGGAGCAACGCCGCGUGAGUGACGAAGGUUUUCGGAUCGUAAAACUCUGUUGUGAGGGAAGAACACGUACCAACUAACUAUUGGUACCUUGACGGUACCUCACCAGAAAGCCACGGCUAACUACGUGCCAGCAGCCGCCGCAG